rnacentral:other from 1 species
AUUUCUCUGAGAUGUUUGCAAGCGGGCCAGUCCCCUGAGCCGAUAUUUCAUACCACAAGAAUGUGGCGCGGUUCGUCCGAGAAGCCUUAAAACCGUGACGACACAUUCACCUUGAACCAAGGGUUCAAGGGUUACAGCCUGCGGCGGCAUCUCGGAGAUUCC